UACAGAGGUCCCGAGCGUUUGUUCGGAUUCACUGGGCGUAAAGGGUGCGUAGGUGGUGAGGUAAGUCGGAUGUGAAAUCUCCGGGCUCAACCCGGAAAUGGCAUUGGAAACUACCUUGCUAGAGGAUUUGAGGGGGGAUUGAGAAUCUUGGUGUAGCAGUGAAAUGCGUAGAUAUCAAGUGGAACACCAGUGGCGAAGGCGAAUCCCUGGAAAAUACCUGACACUCGAGGACACGAAAGCUAGGGGAGCAAACAGG
rnacentral:rRNA from 1 species